GCUACCACGCAAGUGGAUGCCAAUCCCCAAAACCCUACUCUCAGUUCGGAUUGAAGUCUGCAACCCGACUUCAUGAAGCUGGAUUCGCUAGUAAUCGCGCAUCAGCCACGGCGCGGUGAAUACGUUCCCGGGCCUUGUACACACCGCCCGUCAAGCCAUGGGAGCCGGGGGUACCUGAAGUGCGUAACCGCAAGGAGCGCCCUAGGGUAAAACUGGUGACUGGGGCUAAGUCGUAACAAGGUAAC
rnacentral:rRNA from 1 species